AGAUUUUCAAUUUUAUCCCUUGAGUGGCAUGCUUUCCUUCCUGACUAACUCCCCUUGACUGUUCCACUCUUCACUCCACAAUAGGACUGGGGAUAAUGGCCUUAAAAUAAAUAUACCCCUAUCUUGCUUAUUGAAAAAGUGAAUUAUAAUGUCAAAUAGAUUUGCUAGCAAGUUUUCCCUCGUGUUAAUUUGCAUCAACUUCAACAAAAAUAACACAAAUACUAUUCAUAUUUGUCGUCAAAAAUGUACAGCGUUUCAAAUCAUCCUGCUUUUGCAACAAAUAAUUGGGAUAAAUUCUCGAGUAAUGUGCAGUGCGAUUGACUCAGUCAUUACUUGUCAUAUGAAACAUAAAUUGAAAAUAAUUCAGCUUACUUUAUCUGCUUUGUAGCAAGAAUAAGAUGUGAAUCACAAGAAAUAGCCACGAAUGAAGUUAGAAAAGUCUCCAAUUUGACACCGAGUUUAAAGCUUCAUUGUGUUCCCAACCAUGCUGUAAGUGGAAUCAGUUCAUGUCAGUCGGUGCUGUGAACUACAGAAGCUGCCAAACAAAUGUCAAUUAAAAAAAAAUGUCUACUUUACAUUUAUUUAUACAGUGCCAUUCUGUAUUUAU